AAGAAAAUAACAGAGUGGUUAUGUGGUUGUCUUGAAAUCAACAUAUGGAGGUUCAAUUCCUUCUUUUCUCG
rnacentral:tRNA from 1 species